rnacentral:lncRNA from 1 species
GUCUUUAAUAUGUUUGGUUAAUGAGUAAUACCACUUUACGCGUAAUUCUAAAUGUAAGAUGGACAAAAACUCCCAUUUAUUGUAUGCGCACCCUUUCAACCAAAAUAUACAAGUAAGGACAUGUCGCAACUAAUAAUUUAGGAAAAAAUAUUUGUCGAUAUGUCAUACGGUAUUUGAAAAUAAGUGAAAAUAAGCCAAAAUCAAAUUUUAGAAUAUGACCUUGACCUUUGACCUUGACCUUAUUUUCAUUUUUUUUGGACCAAGGAUCUCAAAUCAAGAGACCCUAGGUCUCUAUCACUUAUGGUUUACCAGUUAGAAACGCAUAUCACCUAUAUCACAUACAUAAGGGGGAAUAACUCUCAUAUGGAGUCUCUGGAUAGCUUCAGUCAAAAUUAAAAUCCUAAUCCUGAAAAUGUAACGAGCAAUUUGGUAAAAUAAUUUUGUGGUAAUCUUUUACGGUUGCGAAGGAGUAGUGGCCACAAGGAAAACAGUGUUUGGGGAGAUAACUCUUACAACGUAAAGUAUUUGUUACGCAGUUGUAAAAUUUUUUAAAGCGUAUAACUAUACGAUAUCAUAUUCCAAAUAUCUAAGCGACAACUUAUUAAACAAC